CCACAGAGGUAUGGCCUUUGCCCUUGGCUACUGGGAGAUGAUGGCUAGGCCCUGGGAUGUCCUGCUUGGUGAGAGGGUCUUUGCCUGUGGGCUCUGACCACCAGACAGUCUAACAGUGUGAUCCACGAUGGGGCUCUGGGUGACCUGGAACCACUGCAGUCUCUGGAGGACCUGGAGAUUAAUGCCAUCUGCCCCUCCUCAACUCUGCCCUAUGCGUCUCUUCCGUGGGCUGACUCUAAUCUGCAUUCUUUCCCUGUAAUAAACUGUAAUUGUGAGCUUCACAGCUUCCAGAGAGUUCUGAGUUCUAAGAGUCCCCCCUGUGAACUGCUGAAGCUGAGAAUGGUUCUGGGAACCCAGUGAACUCGCAAUUGGUGUCAAAAAACAAGUGCCUCUUCUGCUCCAGAAGCAAAGGCAAGACUGCACUGAGCCCCUUCUGAGUGCUCCGGAUCCAGGACGCAAACACCACGUGGAAAUCCUUCCCAGUUUCCUUUCACCAGAGGACUCCAUCCACCACCUUCCUAGCAUUUAUCCAGAAGAAAAGACUGCGAAGGAAAAAUUUCUGCAAGAUCUUCAAGUUGGAAUAAAAGGCAUAUGCUGCAAAUAAAAUUACUCCACGUGAAAAUAAAGUUUAUAAUGUAAAUAUCUUCAUUUUAUCUAUCUACACAUACGAUUUCACACAUCACACAUCCAGUUGAGAAACGACGUGACUUUAAGAAGUCUGCUUUCUAGUCAUUGGCAGGUCAGGCUAGUCUAGUUUUGUUUAGUUUCUUCACCAGUCUGCUGCGAGAGGUUUGGCUUAGAUCAGCAUGGAAAAUGAUGACUUGUUCAGUCAGCAGAAUGAGUUUUAACCUCAUAUUCCACUGCAAUCAUGUCACUCUUUGUUACAGUAAGAAAGGAAGGAGCUGCUUUCUACACCACGGCAUUCUGGACUGUAUCAAUGGACCACCAAGGCUGGCACUAAUCCUCGAUCAGGAAGUUCAAAUCAAAGUACCAGUUAGGCUUUUUGGCUGUUACAACCAUUAUUUUUUAGCUAUAACCUAUCACAGAAAAGUAAUCCGAGAGAUUUUUUUUGACUCUCAAAAAUCACUCAUUAUCACCAGGAUCCAAUCUUCAUUAAAAUGCUUUUAGGCAUUCA